CGGGACGGGUGAGUAAUGUCUGGGAAACUGCCCGAUGGAGGGGGAUAACUACUGGAAACGGUAGCUAGUACCGCAUAACGUCGCAAGACCAAAGAGGGGGACCUUCGGGCCUCUUGCCAUCGGAUGUGCCCAGAUGGGAUUAGCUAGUAGGUGGGGUAACGGCUCACCUAGGCGACGAUCCCUAGCUGGUCUGAGAGGAUGAUCAGCCACACUGGAACUGAGACACGGUCCAG
rnacentral:rRNA from 1 species